rnacentral:sRNA from 1 species
AUGUCAACUCGCCAUGUUUUUGACUGCGAACAACAGCUGAUAGCCUGAUAGCGGUGUGUCAGAAGAAUGGCCUGCAAGACGGCGAUAGUUGAAAUUUCAGCUCAACUAACGUAUGACAGAUUAAAAAGAUAUUGGUGGCCACAUGGUUUUUACCUGUUGAUUCUUUUCAGCUCUUGAGGUUAACCUGUCACCUCUACCCACAUGCAUAUUCCUUAAUGUGUUCUACAGACUAUUUACCAGUAAUUCAAAUUGAAUCGGAUAAUUCAUGAACAGUUACUGUAAUGGAACUUUAAGAAAGCACCAUGCCUUGUUGUGGUUUGUGUUUGAUAAGAAAUUAUAACAAACAAAAUUAUGGCUGUUUAAAGUAAUUUACAAUUGUUAGCUGUGAAAAUUUGUUUUUCAAUAAAAGUAUGCAAUUAU